rnacentral:rRNA from 1 species
UGGGCAACCUGCCCUCAGCUCUGGGGCAACUCCGGGAAACCGGGGCUAAUACCGGAUACGACCUUCUCCUGCAUGGGGGUUGGUGGAAAGUUUUUCGGCUGGGGAUGGGCCCGCGGCCUAUCAGCUUGUUGGUGGGGUGAUGGCCUACCAAGGCGACGACGGGUAGCCGGCCUGAGAGGGCGACCGGCCACACUGGGACUGAGACACGGUCCAGACUCCUACGGGAGGCA